UGGGGAAUUUUGGACAAUGGGCGAAAGCCUGAUCCAGCAAUGCCGCGUGUGUGAAGAAGGCCUUCGGGUUGUAAAGCACUUUUGUCCGGAAAGAAAUCCUUGGCUCUAAUACAGUCGGGGGAUGACGGUACCGGAAGAAUAAGCACCGGCUAACUACGUGCCAGCAGCCGCGGUAAUACGUAGGGUGCAAGCGUUAAUCGGAAUUACUGGGCGUAAAGCGUGCGCAGGCGGUUGCUAAGACCGAUGUGAAAUCCCCGGGCUCAACCUGGGAACUGCAUGGUGACUGGCAGGCUAGAGUAUGGCAGAGGGGGUAGAAUUCCACGUGUAGCAGUGAAAUGCGUAGAGAUGUGGAGGAAUACCGAUGGCGAAGGCAGCCCCCUGGGCCAAUACUGACGCUCAUGCACGAAAGCGUGGGGAGCAAACAGGAUUAGAUACCCCUGGUAGUCCACGCCCUAAACGAUGUCAACUAGUUGUUGGGGAUUCAUUUCCUUAGUAACGUAGCUAACGCGU
rnacentral:rRNA from 1 species